CUAAGCAGAGACAUCCUGAAGGAAAAACGAAUCAGAACUUGGAGGCUGUCAGAGUCACCAAGAAGAAAAGCUUCACAUGACAAGGAAAUAAGGUGGAGCCACAACGGCUGAGAUGAAAAGGAGUUAGAUAUUUUGGAGACAAGAGUGCCCUUCUUUUCCCUGGAGGCAAAUAAAAACAUCGCAGGAGACCGAAGACGUAGUGAAAGGACACUGAUUGAAUUUAGUGUCAGAAAAUUAAGCCAUGAUUUCACUGCUAAUUAUUCAG